GCCUUUCUUUAGUGUACGUGUCACUGCUUGGCUAUCCCCUUUGUGUGCUAAUCCAAUUCUAUACAUUAUUAGAAUAGUCAUUGUACUGGUAGAGUGUGUAGAGGUGGCCUAUUGACACGUCCUGCACUGUUCACUAUGGCACAUUGUGGACAGGACUUACAAAACUUGACAAUGUCACUAGUGGCGUGACAGAGCCUUAUACAACCUUUCGCCAGAGAAAUGGCCAGCCAUAGGACUGCUGUGGCUCUCUGCCAUUACUUGCUCACGUAGGUGCUUAGGCACAGCACUUCGUUUCCGACCCCCAUUCUUAGGGUCAACAAAAUACAACAACACAAAAAUGUAAAGCCUGAGCUGCCACUUUUCGGGCGUUCUGCUCAUCACUAGGCAGUUGGUUUUGAACCAAAAAGUUAAACAUAAAGAUAAUCUGAAUCUUUGCGUUGCUUUUGCACAAAAUUAAACUGAAAAGACUUUAUUGGAACACAGGACGACUCGGGGCACAUGUCCAGUAGUUCUCGAACAGUCAGGUCUGUGUCUGUAUGAACGCCACUUGUACCUGCUCCACCUCAGCAUUAGGGGUGCUAACCCGGCUGGGCUCCGUGGGUUGUCCUUGCCUGCUUUGUACACAAUUUGGAUUCUCCUCACAAACACUUUCAGCCACCACCUCGCGUGCUUGCCAGAGGGGUUGGGUGUCUCCAACACGGCCUUCACUGCAGAGUGAUCACUAUAAACCACGACGUUAUGUCCAUACAUGGCUAACUGCCCACACCACAGCAAUAGUUUCUAGCUCGUGAUUCUCCUGUGGUGAGAGGGCACGGCUAGCAUAGGCUACUGGAUGAUACUUCCCAUCUGUCUGUUUCUGGGACAGAACUGCUCCUAGCCCCUUUAUUGUAGCAUCUGUCUCUAGUUGAAAAUCUUUAUCAAAAUUGGAAAAUAGGUGAGGAACUGACCAGUUAAACUGCACUCCCUUCUUUGUGAGUGUGUGUAGAGGUUUCACGACUUUUGCGAAGUUCUUUACAAAUCGUCGAUAGUCCGAGAUUAAACCAACGAACUUUGUGAACUGAAGUCAUUCUGGAAAAUUCUUUAAUGGCUGACACACGUUGCGGGUUUGGUUUGAUUCCAUGUGGGGUGAUCAAGUGUCCCAAGUAUUCCAUGCUCUGGGAAGUGAAAUGGCACUUAGUCGGUUUCAGCUUAAUAUAAGGCCAGCACUAAUAAAAUAUGUUUUUCAGAAUGUAAUCCAGGUACAGGGUACUCCAUCUUCAGGGUUAAGACCACGUAGCACGCAUUGCCUGAAGGGCAUAACGCGAAACUCAUAAAGUCCCUGAUGAGUAAUAAAUGCGGUUUUCUCUGAGUCUGGCACCUGCCAAUACCCUGAAGCUAAUCUAGGGGAGAAGAACUUGGAUUCUCCAAGUAGGUCGAGAAGGUUACAGAAUAGGUCAGCUUUUGUGGUUGAGUUCAACUCUCGGAGUCCCGUCUUUUUUCUUCGGCUUGCCCAGUCGCUGGAUGAGGGCGUGAUUACACCCUGGCUCUGCAUCUUGGUCAGUUGUCUGGCUAUCUCAUGUCGCAGUGCGAAGGGAGCACGACACGGCGCUUUCAAGGUGGGACGCGCACCGUACGUGUCUAUCUCUAAUUGUACCAUUCCGGUGCCUCCUCUCUCUCCAUCACUCAGGGCAAAAGCCUCAUGGUACUCACAGAGCAAUGAGAACAAUUGAUCUCUCUGUUGCCACGACAGCCUGGCAGCCUCGUCUUGGAUAACUUAAAUGUGGCUUGUGAAGCACAUCCUACCCAGGUACCUCUAUCUAGACUUCGUGUAAAUCCAGUGGGAUUGCUUAGAACUACAUAAGUAGGGCCACUCAUUCCGUCUACUAGAGUCUCGCUAAAACACAAUGUAUCGCUUUCUGGGCCAGUAAAAGAAACACUUGGUUCUACCAGAACAAGUCCACUAAGGUCCUCAGGUUCUAAUCGGGCUAUCACGCUCUGGUGGGGGGGGACACACACUGAGUCUACUAAACCAGUAUGCAACUGCGCUGCUGCGGUCGUUGAGUCAACGGCGGCCUGCUCAGUGGGUUCUCUGCCUGGCCCUAGGCUGGGGUGAUACGACAUAAUCCCCAGUUGUCUACAAAUCCCCUCUGAGAGUAAAAUGAUGCAUAUAUCUGCACCUGUGUCUACUAUUCCCACUGCUGGGACUCCAUGCACAUGGCUCAACAAGCCUCUAUGCGAACCAGGUUGACAGUUCCUUCUUCCUCUGAAGAGUACAGAUACUGGCGAGGGUCAUCCUCUGCCUGUUCCAUGGUUGUAGCUGUUCUGACUGCACACACUUGGCACCUGGUGGCUUGUAAUGGGUUGUUGAUGGCCUAGACUCUUGCUUUCUCUAUUUGCAUUGCCUAGCUAGGUGAUUGGGUGAAUCACACAGGUAAUACUUCCUACCCAUGCUGCUAGGUGUCUGUUGUUGGGGUUUGGGGGCAGGAGGCUGCUGAUAUCCUGGCCUCUUCUUAUGGGCCUGGGGGUGAACUAUUGCCUCUUGGGCUACUGUAGUGUUGCCUACGUCUACCCUUGUCUGGCAGCUAGACAUAGUCCUGGCACUUCUGGGCACCUGAGACAGCGGGGCUCCUCAUUAGAUCAUAUCUCAAACCCCCUUGUAGUUGACUCUGCAACAUAGUGUCUCUAGUCUAUGCUGACAGGCUAUCGUUCUAUACGCCUUACAUAAUCACCUUACAUAAUCAGCUACGGGCUCACUCUCAGUCUGGUUUGCAUACCUGAAGUCUGUUGCGCUGCAGCUAUGACCCUAUUCUCUGCCGUAAGGCACCGGCAGCCUCCUUAAAUGACGUCUUGUUCUUACUGGUCAACAGGUUCCACUCCUUUAAUACCACGUAAGUGGCCAGCCAGUUGGAGAAGUGUCUCCUCAUCUGACCAUCCGUUCCACAGUACUGCUCUCUCCAACGUUGGUAGCCAGUCCUCAAAUCUAUCCUCAGGGUUCUCUGACGAAAAGGAAUCUACUGGUGGAGCUCUCCCCCUUCUACCAACCUUCGGUGUUGGCCUCUCUAAUACUCUCCGGGAAUGAACUACACUAGAUCUAGGGCUAGUCUCUUCAUCUCUGGUCGUACGAGUGCGUAUCGUGAACCAGUGUACUUGCGCCCCAAACUUCCGCACUGUGCACAGCGGCGCCUGCCGCCUCAAGUUCAACUACUUCUGGCCCUUAGUACAGAAAUUUCAUCCUCUUUAUCACAACCGGCGCCUGCCGCCUCAAGUUCAACUACUCUGGCCCUUAGUACAGAAAUUUCAUCAUCUUUAUCACAAUUUUAUUAUCAUUAUUUGCUUAACACGCCACAUAUUGGAAUUUUGCUCCUCCAGUUGGUCCCUCAGGUCAUCAGCUUCUGCUAGGGGAACGGUAGACUCCUGUAGGCGCUCUGUCUCAGCCCUCAGUAUGGUCACCUCAGUCUCAGAUUCACUUAGGGCAUGCUGUACCCUCUCCAGUUCCAUCUGCUGGUCCCCUCAGUCUGGUCUCUCUCUUGCUCUGCUUUCUCCCUGUCCCGGAUAGCUCUGAGCUUCUCCAGCUGUUCCAGUGGUUCGUCUCCGGGUUCCGACUCCGCCCUCGAGGUGUCGCCUCCGUCUCGAGUUUGUCCACGGUAUGAGCCACAUGGUCAGGGCUCUCUCUUUCUAAUUCUGGCUCUAACUCAACUUGUAGAAAGAUGCCUUCUUCGUCUAGUAGACUCAGGAUGGGGUUUCCUUCUUCCUCGCCCUCUUCUCUCUGGGCUUGGACAUUUGUUGGCUGCUUGGACAUUUAUUGGCUGCUUGCCCAUUUCCGUGAGUUUUCCUUCCAACAUCAGUCGUAGAUCUGUGCACUCCUAGUUCUUCAGCCAUUCUGCCUUCAUCCUUCUUGAACUGAAAGGGAUUGGUAGGCCACAGGUCUUUGCCACUCCACGUGCCCUUCUCCAAGUAACUCUCUGUCUUCGCUUGACAUACUGCCUUUGAAAAAAAUUUCCAAAGGACUUCUAACUCUUUCUGAACUCUGUAGCGCACUGUUAGGCUUCGAUGUAAAAGGAUUCAGUCUGGGCCUGGACCUCCAUUGUAACACGGUUCUUCAUAGGAAUUAUAUCACAUCACGUGUAACACACACAUACGUCACAAUACAUCAAGAGUAAGUAUGCAUGACAAACAAACGAACUGUACUGACUGUAGUGACAGUUCCUUGUUAUACACAUGUAAUUACAAUGAGGAUAAUUUUCUCCCUGUAAAACAUGCAGGAAAAGAAGUACUGUACUUCAAUCUACUACUAAGUGAAUCAGAAGAAGCCCCAAAAAUCGAUAAGUCAUCACCUUGAUGUCACAUGGUACACUCUCGUCCCUGAAGCUAUGAACUCAUAAGCAGAGGAAAUAACUUGAAGCUGUCAGGCACAAAGACUAUAUACCUGCACAAUGAACACUAUAAUCUUAUGAUGCAUGCAUGGACUUGUAAACCGGCUUAUAUUCAGUAUACAUAAUUAUAAUAGCUGCACGUACAUCGAUUGUUAAGUGUUCGCAAUCGCGCUAUAAUAAUUAUGAUCAUUAUAUAACUUUGA